rnacentral:lncRNA from 1 species
UAAACGUAGCACUCUUCAAAUUUAAUUUAUUAAAUAAAUAUAUUAUCUGACAUUAGCACUCUUCAAAUUUAAUUUACUGAAUAAAUAUAUCUCCAGUAUUCAAUCACGAAUCUUGUAAGAUGAUUCAUUUGACGAUAUUAACAGAGCCAUUCUCGCUUGAGAUAUAUUGGAUUUAUUAAAUCAAGUUUAUUUCAGCGUGUAAAUAAUAGCUGGAUUCAAUUUAUCUAUCUGCUCUGUAUUUCUAAGAUCUACUUAUCGAAAGUCUAACGAUCGAACGCCAAUAUAGAGUCAAAUAACAUUCUUGUAUCCCACUGAUUUGUUAUAUUACUAAUUGAUGUUUAAAUAAUAAAUUUUGAAAUGUAUGAAUAUUCAAUAAUAAUUGAAAAUGUAGCGUGGCACACAGUGUACCCUAGGUGCAUGCAAUACUCUCUCCACUCUUUCUCUCUCUAGAUUUCUCCUCCUUCAUCCUUUGGCACGCCUAGUAUCAUUCUCUCUCGCUCUCUCUCUUCACUUUCUCUAUCUCUCUUGUGCAUGUCAGAGAAAAUACCCUCACCUCAGAAACCAAAGCAAAGGUUCCCUUCUCUCUCUCUCUCUCUCUCUCUCUCUCUCUCUCUCUCUCUCUCUCUCCAUCCUCCUCUGUCACCGCUCUCAAACGUUGCUGCUUCUUUUUAUAUGUAUAUAUAUAUAAAAAUAUAAUUAGACACCCACAAACCAAUCAACAACAACACAUUAAAGCACAGGAGAAAGCAAAGCACAAACAAAGCCCAACAAGCCGAAAGAUAUGAAAGAAAGAAACCCAAAAGCUAUGUAGGGAGCCCACAAAAGAAGGGAAAUUUUAUUUUCAAAAAAAAAUAUAAAAAAUAAAAAAUAAAAAAUAAAAAAUAAAAAAUAAAAAAUAAAAAAUAAAAAACCCCACUCAUCUCGGUCUCACCAAAAGAAAUCCCACACCCAUUAAAAGGCAUGCACUCACCACCCACUAUAGAGAUUCCCCCCUCUCCCUCUCCCUCUCUCUCUCUACUAAGUUGAAAAAAAGAAAAGAAAAGAGAAAGAGAGGCUCGUUGGUGAAUUCCAAAAACCCUAAUAACAGUAGGAGGAGUAGUAGUAGGAGUAAGAGAGUAGUAUAAGCAGAGCCUCUUCACACCCACUCCUCUUUGCUCACCAUCUCUUUCUCUCUAUUCCUAUGUGGGGGUGGUGGUGGUGGUGGUGCAGUAGUAGUAGUAUUGUUGCUUUUGUUAGUGGUUUAGUAGUAGCAGUAGUAGUAUAUUAUGGAUACACUAUUUAGGUUAGUUAGUCUACAGUCAUCGGAUCAGCAGAGCUACAACUCAAGCCGCACUUCGUCCAGCUCGAGAUCUUCCUCCAAACCCAACAUCAACAACACCAACACC